rnacentral:tRNA from 1 species
GCCAGUGUGGCAUAGUGGUUUGAAUGUUGAACUAUAACUCUGGAGACCAGGGUUCAAUUCCCCACUUGGCCA